rnacentral:rRNA from 1 species
GAUGAACGCUAGCGAUAGGCUUAACACAUGCAAGUCGAGGGGCAGCGCGAGGUAGCAAUACUUUGGCGGCGACCGGCGCACGGGUGCGUAACACGUAUGUAACUUACCUCUUACAACCGGAUAACACGGUGAAAGUCGUGCUAAUAUGGUAUAGUUUCACAUUUUUGCAUGAGAAGGUGAAUAAAGAUUUAUCGGUAAGAGAUAGACAUGCGGUCCAUUAGAUAGUUGGUGAGGUAACGGCUCACCAAGUCGACGAUGGAUAGGGGGACUGAGAGGUUGACCCCCCACACUGGUACUGAGACACGGACCAGACUCCUACGGGAGGCAGCAGUGAGGAAUAUUGGUCAAUGGGCGAGAGCCUGAACCAGCCAAGUCGCGUGAAGGAAGACGGUUCAUAAGGAUUGUAAACUUCUUUUGUAGAGGGGUAAAGGUGCGUACGUGUACGCAUUUGCAAGUACUCUACGAAUAAGUAUCGGCUAACUCCGUGCCAGCAGCCGCGGUAAUACGGGGGAUACGAGCGUUAUCCGGAAUUAUUGGGUUUAAAGGGUGCGUAGGUGGCUAUUUAAGUCAGGGGUGAAAAGCAUGAGCUCAACUCAUGUCUUGCCUUUGAAACUGGACAGCUAGAGAAGAGACGAGGUAUGUGGAAUGUGUGGUGUAGCGGUGAAAUGCAUAGAUAUCACACAGAACUCCGAUUGCGCAGGCAACGUACCAGACUUAUUCUGACACUGAAGCACGAAAGCGUGGGUAUCAAACAGGAUUAGAUACCCUGGUAGUCCACGCAGUAAACGAUGAAUACUAGUUUUUUGCGAUAUACGGUAAGAGACUAAGCGAAAGCGAUAAGUAUUCCACCUGGGGAGUACGCCGGCAACGGUGAAACUCAAAGGAAUUGACGGGGGCCCGCACAAGCGGAGGAACAUGUGGUUUAAUUCGAUGAUACGCGAGGAACCUUACCCGGGAUUGAAAUGUAGGAGUUAGAUGAUGAGAGUCAUUGUCCCUUCGGGGCUCCUAUGUAGGUGCUGCAUGGUUGUCGUCAGCUCGUGCCGUGAGGUGUUUGCUUAAGUGCAAUAACGAGCGCAACCCACGUUGAUAGUUACUAACAGGUUAAGCUGAGGACUCUAUCGAGACAGCCGUCGUAAGGCGAGAGGAAGGUGUGGAUGACGUCAAGUCAGCACGGCCCUUGCAUCCGGGGCGACACACGUGUUACAAUGGUGAGGACAGCAGGAAGCGACAUGGUGACAUGAAGCAGAUCCCAAAACCUCACCCCAGUUCGGAUCGGAGUCUGCAACUCGACUCCGUGAAGCCGGAUUCGCUGGUAAUCGCGCAUCAGCCAUGGCGCGGUGAAUACGUUCCCGGGCCU